CAGAAAAAUAAAUUUGGGAAUUAAUUUUUGUCUUCCUGUUGUAGAUAUGACUUUAAGAAUGUUCCAGAUGUUUCAGAUGGGGUAAUGUUUUACGGUAACAGGAAUGAGUGAAACCCAUGGAACAAAAAUAAAUAAAUGUAUAUAUAACAUGAAUAAAUAUUAUGGACCUAUUAUGAACAAAAAUCUUUUUUAAAGCAUAGAUGGGAUUUGGAGUCACACAACAAUGAAAAAGCAUUUUAAUCAUUAGAUUGGAUUUAAAGAGUGGGGAGAGCAUGGAAACAUGGGAGGGGUAGAACACUAUAGUUUGAUGACACAGACAGACAGAUACCACCAUCACAAUCGAGACAUUACCUGUGUGCGAACUGUUCCUCCACUGGUCAGCUAUACUGAGCAGACACGGUUAGAUUUUUAAAGAAUGGAUGACUCCAGAAACUGCACCAACUCCAACAUCCACGUUCCCAUCAUCGCCUGCCUCUGUGAAGCUCUGCUGAUGUCCAUCAUCAUAAAUAUAUAUUUUAUUUGUACUAAGAAGUACAGACUGCUUGGCCAGCGCAUUUACAAUGUGGUAAACUCAGCGUGUUGUAAAUCAGCACAAACAGAGCAAGAUGAUGAACAAACCUCUGAACAGGAUCAGCCUGAAGAUGAGAUCCAGUACUCUGCAGUGGAUUUCAGGAAAAAGAGAGAAGAUGCUCAGAAUCAGGCAGAAGAAAUAAGAGAUGAGACUAUUUACAGUGGUCUGGCCAGUCUCGGGGUGGAAUAAGGUGUGGCUCACUUUUAUUUAAUAAAUAUAAUACUGAUCUAUUUAUCA
rnacentral:lncRNA from 1 species